GAUGAACGCUGGCGGCGUGCCUAACACAUGCAAGUCGAGGGGCAGCAUAGAGUAGCAAUACUUUGAUGGCGACCGGCGCACGGGUGAGUAACACGUAUGCAACCUACCUACAUCAGGGGAAUAACCCGGAGAAAUUCGGACUAAUACCGCAUAAUACAGGGAUGCCGCAUGGCAAUAUUUGUUAAAGAUUUAUCGGAUGUAGAUGGGCAUGCGUUCCAUUAGCUAGUUGGUGAGGUAACGGCUCACCAAGGCAACGAUGGAUAGGGGAACUGAGAGGUUUGUCCCCCACAAUGGGACUGAGACACGGACCAGACUACUACGGGAGGCAGCAGUGAGGAAUAUUGGUCAAUGGACGAGAGUCUGAACCAGCCAAAUCGCGUGAAGGAAGACUGCCCUACGGGUUGUAAACUUCUUUUGUACAGGAAUAAAAGACAUUACGUGUAAUGUAUUGCAUGUACUGUACGAAUAAGCAUCGGCUAACUCCGUGCCAGCAGCCGCGGUAA
rnacentral:rRNA from 1 species